CCCAAAAAAACGAAAGUGUGACGGGGUUACCCAAGGUGCUUAAUUUUUAAGCUGUGGUAAGUGUGUAAUGUACCUUACUAGAAAGGAGAGGGCAAGGCUGGUGCCAGCCGCCGCGGUAAAACCAGCUCUUCAAGUGGUCGGGAUAUUUAUUGGGCUUAAAGUGUCCGUAGCUUGUAUAAUAAGUUCCUGGUAAAAUCUAAUAGCUUAACUAUUAGUAUGCUAGGAAUACUGUUGUACUAGAGGGCGGGAGAGGUCUGAGGUACUUCAGGGGUAGGGGUGAAAUCCUAUAAUCCUUGGAGGACCACCAGUGGCGAAGGCGUCAGACUGGAACGCGCCUGACAGUGAGGGACGAAAGCCAGGGGAGCGAACCGGAUUAGAUACCCGGGUAGUCCUGGCCGUAAACGAUGCAUACUAGGUGUUGGUAUGGCUAUGAGCCAUAUCAGUGCCGAAGGGAAACCAUUAAGUGUGCCGCCUGGGAAGUACGGUCGCAAGGCUAAAACUUAAAGGAAUUGGCGGGGGA
rnacentral:rRNA from 1 species